rnacentral:lncRNA from 1 species
CACUCUCAAAGGAUUAGCUUAUCCACAGGGAUCCCUGUUCUGGAGACACUGUUGUCUGCACAUCUAACUCUGUUGUGGAAAGGUUCCUCUCAGGCUUGAUACACAGGAUCCCAUCCUUGUUAACCACACCAGUCACCCUCUAGCAACCUACUGUGUGCAAAAGAAAACACCACUGGUGUAGAAGAUUGGGAAAUAUGCAUGAAGAUAUAGCAGGUGCCUGGGGUAAGAUUGAAACACCCAGCAGGAUGGAGCAUGGAAGAGCUGGGAUCAAGCUGGCUUAGAAAGAAGACAUAGCCAGGACAGCGUAGGGACAGCAGCUAACUCGUGGUCUGGGCGCCAAGAGCCAGGACAGUAGCCUUGCCCUUUGGGAGCCCAUGGGAAGGCGAGGUCACUGAAUCGAUGCAACCCUGGGAAGAAAGAUGAGGCUGUCCUCAUCCCAGGGAAGACUUGAGCUGGGCUACUGGACGCUGAUGGACUAUCGAGUGUCCAAACGUCACUCUUGCUGGAACAGAAGGAGCCAGAGGACACUGCAAGCAUCAUGCAUUUCUGGACGUCUUCCCACCUCCCCUGGUCACCAUCCCUGCCCUGCCUCCUAAGCUAGACACCUGGUGUCCUCUUUGUUGCCCCUCCAUGGUUGCCUUCUUCAACUGUCAGAGUUGUUCUUGCCCGUGUAUGACACUCCAGCCUCACUGCUACCUCCAGGGUCAUGAGUGUCACCAGCUCCCUCCAAAACCUUAUAGCCCUCACUGCCCUGUUGGCCACCAUGUAGUGUCAGGAGGGUUGUGAACUGCAGUUAGGGUGCAGUAAAACCCGCACAGGCUUGAACCCUGACUCUGACCCCAUCCAAGCUGGCCAGAGCCUCUGACAUUCACCCUCACUGCCCUCUUCUGUACAAUGGAACACACUGACCUCACAAAGAUGUGUUCACCCAGCACUCUGGGAGGCUGAGACAGGAAGAUCAAAAGUUCAAGCCCAGAUUGAGCAAAUUGGGGAGAGUUUAUCUGAAAAGUAAAAAAAUAAAAUAAAAAUUGGGGAGAGAGAGAGAGA